UGCUCGAGUGGCGGACGGGUGAGUAACACGUGAGUAACCUGCCCUUGACUUUGGGAUAACUUCAGGAAACUGGGGCUAAUACCGGAUAGGAGCUCCUGCUGCAUGGUGGGGGUUGGAAAGUUUCGGCGGUUGGGGAUGGACUCGCGGCUUAUCAGCUUGUUGGUGGGGUAGUGGCUUACCAAGGCUUUGACGGGUAGCCGGCCUGAGAGGGUGACCGGCCACAUUGGGACUGAGAUACGGCCCAG
rnacentral:rRNA from 1 species